rnacentral:misc_RNA from 1 species
CGAUAGAGGGCGUUGCAAAGUUCACAAAAUUUGAAAAGAGAAGCAGCAGAAGCUCACAGCCAGGUGGAGCUGGGGGAGAACUACCGACAUGCAGAGAAACAAAUGGAUGAAACAUGUUGAAGAAAAUGCAUCUGAAAGUGAUGCAGAAUGUGGGAUUUUGUUUUCAACAAGUCCUGAAGAGAAGAUAACUCAGGAGAAGGCUCGGAGGGAAAAGCGCCGGAGGAAGAUAGAGAGAGAGCUGUUUGAAACCGAGAAGACGUAUCUCGGACAUCUAGAACUGAUACAGAAGUACUUCGACUUCCCUCUAAAGUUUGCCUGUAUUAUUCCGGAUGAUGCUCAUUCUCGCAUCUUCAGCAACAGUGAGCAAAUCUAUGGUGUCAACCAGCGACUGUUUGAGCUGAUGGAACAGACCACAGUGGGCCAGGCCUUCCACCAUCUGGGCCCUUUCCUCAAACUGUACUCCACAUACGCCAACAACCACGAACAGGCAAUAAGCACACUGCAGGAGUGGCGACAGAAGAAGCCAGAGUUUGCAGAUUACAUUCAGCGACAAGAGUACAGGCCAGAGCUUAAAGGACUCAAGUUGAAUGCCCUGUUGAUAACCCCAGUCCAGAGAAUACCCAGAUACAAGAUGCUCCUGGAGGACCUGCUACAACACACCUGUGAGGACCACCAUGAUCACCACCACCUGGCAGAGGCGACAAGACAGAUAGCCGAGAUUGCAUCCCAUAUCAAUGAGCACAUCCGGCAGCAUGAGAACUUCCAGAAGAUGCUGACUAUACAGAACUGUUUUGACAGUUCUGCUCCCAAGAUACUUGCCCCUGGCAGGGUCUUCAUCAAGGAAGGAACUCUCAACAAGGUGGCCAGAAAGGGAGGCAGGUCCCACGAGCGGAUGUUCUUCCUGUUCUCGGACAUCCUGCUGUAUGGCAAGCCGAAACUUCUUGAUGGUGGUAGUCGCACCUACAACUGCUGCUGUGUUCUGCCUCUCAAACAUUGUCAGAUCCACCCAGUCUUCAUCCCCAAUGCGGCUCGCAGUGAUGGAGGGGGCAUGUUUCAGGUGACCUGUAAGGACGAGAGCCUACUGCUCUACUCUGAUGACCAGCACAACGCCAAGGCAUGGAGUGAUGCACUAGAGAAAGCAGUCAUGAAGCUGUGCACUGACCGGCAGACCCUACGGAAACCCAGCAGCCACAAGAUGCCACUGAGGGGACGGUCUAUCAGGAAACAGCUACAGAAAGAAAAGAAAUCUGAUCCUCUGGUGAAAAAGCUUUUCAUUCAUCAAGAUUCUGGGAUAAAAAAAGCUGCAAGGAAGUUUGAAGCUCUGGUUGAGGAACCUGACUGUUCACCACUGAGAGAGAAACUGGCGCCAGUCAAGGACCGUAUCCAGUCAUGGUACGAUGAGGAUGUUGGUACAUGUCUGUCACCAUGGUCACCAAGAAAAAGCCAGGAAAACUUGGAGAAUGAGGAUAUUCACAACAUUUCGGAUGAUGUCUUCUCCAACAGAGCUUACAGUAUGCCGUGUUUCCCGGAAGACUCCCUGUCUAACUUUGAGGACCCUGUUCCUAGUGUCAGGUCUGAUUCACAGCUCACCGACACAGAGAGAUGUCGACCAAUGUCAGAUCCUGGCGUAACAUUGCCUGCAGCCUUCGAGCGAUAUGCCACAUCUCGACCCACCCCACACCAAUCCUCCCCACGCAGGGGAUUAAACAGCCGCCUCAGGUCUUACAUUCAGAAGCCAAUACAGAGACUUCUGAGAGUUCGACACAAUUUACGAGGUGCCUGCAGUCCCUUCAGGACAUCAUCAGCGCCAUCUUCAGGCUGCAGCAGUCGACUCUAUUCUAAAUGACCUGAUCAAUUAUACAUCCUUAUGAUUCUGGUCGGGAUAGAUCGUUGGUACAAGAUAUUUGAUUUACACAAGAAAUUUGCUCAUACUAUUUUGGCUGCUGACCUCAUCAUGGUGAUGACAUUUUCUCCACUUCGUGAAUGAUAUCAGUGUAUUUUAUAAACUAAACAUUCAUGAAGUGGGAUUAAAAAACAGUCGGAAUAUGUUUUGUUGUAACAUGUCUACCUGGUUAACAUGACACUUAAUCUUGUAAUGAACAGACUGAGACAUAAAGUCUGUGAAAAAUAAACUUCGUUCACAUAAUGUUCUUGCUUGCAAUAAUGACUUUGAAUGGCUGUUUUUAGUGUGUAUGCUGUCAAAUCAGAACACUCUUUUAUAACUUUGUUCAUCAAUCCAUGGCCCUUAAAUACCAGGGUAAUGAAAACUAUUAGAAUCAACAGUUGCUUGCUAAUAGCAUCUUGCCAGUUUCAAAUGCUGUGAAGAAUACUUAACUAUAUAUAUGUGCAGUGAACAUGUUAAUCCGGUUAGUACAGUUAAUCGGGGCAAGUGAAGUUGUCCUGAUUUACAGAUUUCUUGAUCAACACAUCAUGAGUGUGAUGAGUGGAUCACUUCUUUUCAAUGUGUCCCCUGCCGCGGUAUUUCUGGAAUGUUGCUAUAAGUGGCGUAAUACCAUAUUCAUUCACUCACUCUAUUACGUGUAACUGUAAUUGUUAUGAAAGACUGAGUUUCAGAUUAACUGUGCCCAGACUAUUAUUAUCUCAUUAAAAUCAGAUCUUUUACACCAAUAUGAUACCUCCAAUACGAUACCAUCAAGAGCUGACAACUGCUUGGUAGAAGGCCAAAUCAGCUGAAUCCUGAACAUUCUUUGACAAAUCUAAAUCUAUACUUAACGGAUAUUUGGGUUCAUGAGCCAAUCCGGUACCAGGUUUCUAAAACCCACACAAAUAUUCCACGUAAUCCCUGUAAGUGUUAAUGUCAUGGUGCUCACAAACAACAUGGUGUAUAAAAUAUUCACAAUAUGAAGGUUUUGCCUUUUAUUCUUUUGAGGUACAGGAAUCAGAUAUGCUGGUCCGAAUGCUUUGAUCACUUAUACCGAGAAUUUAGGAUCCUUGACGCUGAUUGGUUUAUUAGAAAAUUCAACCGGAGGUAUCGUAUCUGAGUAAAACAACUGAUUUUAAUGAGCUUUGAACUUAGGUUUCAGUGUAUUAGAAAUUCACCUGAAAGUCACUUGUUUUAAUGCAACAGUGUAUUUACAAAGACAUCAUCGUAGUUGAAAACAAUUGUGUAUUUACUGAAUUCUAUUAAACAGUAUGGAGUAUAUGCAUACAUUGUAUAUACGGUAUGUAUUACACACUUGCAAUGCCUACAGUGAUUAUCUCCCUUCAGUAUAUAUUGUUGUCUGUUGUACAAACAGAGACUGUUGACCAGAUGUUUUGCUCAAUAUGUUAGUAUUUGGUUCCUAUUGUACAGAGAAUGUAUUGUUUAAUGUAUGUUAAUGCUGUUCUAUGGUGCCCCUCCCACAAGGCAGUCUCACCACACCAGCUAUCAUUAGUCAAGUAUAGCUGUCGUAGUCUGAGAUAGUUCUGUGAGACUGGUACCAGGGAUUCAGUGAGCUGCAAACAGUAGUUUCUACAAUCUACUUCUUGUUCUUUUACACCUUGUGAUAUGUUUGUGUUUUACCAUGAACUGGUAAUUAUUUAGUAUUCUGUACCCUGAGACUUACGGCCUGGUGUGUGGUUUUGUCAGUCAUCUAUCACAGUUUGUAUCUUCUGUGACAUUUACAUUACUAGAUCAACUGAAACACCAAAUGAUAUUUACCAAUCUUAUAUGUUCAUAUUUUUUAUUAGGACUGGAAGUAAAAACUUGUGUUAAUAAUAAUAAUAAUAAUAAUAAUAAUAAUAAUAAUAAUAACAACAACAAUAACAACAACAACAACUUUGGACAUUUUUGGUAAGACGAAAAGGUUUAAGUCUAUUCAAUGUUUGUCACUAUCAAGCAUUUUCAUCAUUAGAUACUUAGGGAUAUUUAACAUAGUUUGUGCCAGCUUAUCCUGAAAAUGAACUUUUAUGCUUUCUUUAUAUAUGAUAACUUGUGUAUAUGAUAGUUUGUAAAGGCCAUACAUAUGCUGUGCACUUGACAUCCCCCCAGUGAUGAGGAUAGAACCACACCUUGCCACGCCCUAUUGCUUUGCUAACAGGGACUAUUGUAUAUACAGACUGUAUACCUGUGAUCUUUGAUUGUAACAGACAGUAUAGACAAACAUUCUUAGUGUAAUCAUUCCUUCCCUAUUCCUUGCUUCCAUGCUGUGCAUAGACAUUAUAUUUAUACCUGUAUUUAUACUUUGUUUUGCCAACAACUUACGGACUUGUAUAUUAUUGUAUAGCCAAUCUUCACACCUGAAGGUGCACACUCCAGAUUCAGUAUAGUCAUUCCAAUUAUAGUGUAAAUAUUCAGAGACGUUUAUACCAGUUAUGUAAUACUCCUUAAGUGAUAUCUGCUCGCUCUACCUCUCGGUCUUCUGGCUGUCUUCUCUCCAUGACUGGACUUGACACAUUCUCUGAUGGAGCAACACAUGCGAGUGCAUGUUGCUGUUGGCUCAUAAACAUGGUUGAAAAGGAUUGAAGCCUGGGAAUCUUCGGUGCUAAUCAUUAAGUACAGACUUGAUAAACAUGAUAAAUGCAUUCCUUGCUAAUAAAUGUUACCAACAGGUAUUUAGCAGGUAAAUAUGAAUAUUUUAUUCGUAUCAUUCCAGUACUGUUUCUUUUGUGUUUUCUUUGCAGAUUUCUUGGUGAUUUUGAGCAUUUUGUUUCUAAAUUACACUGCAAAGCAGACAACCUGUAAUGUUAUAUCCUAAUUCCUCCUGAUUUUGGAGAUUUUAUUCAGGUGGGUUUUAAGAGAAAAUUAGAAGGUUAUUGGCUCUGGGAGUCCUAAUGAAGCAAAAUGUUCACUGAAGGUAAAGGUCGUGAAUGCAACUAUGACAAGUGAGUUCAGUGGGCCUCCCCUGGCCCUUACCCCCACCUUGGGAGUACAUAGUGAAGACGGUUUAUCAUAUAAUGGAUAGUGUUACCAAUGCGAUUGAGUACUUUUAGCAAACUCAGCAUGUCAAUGUGGUAUUUACUUCCAAAAGAAUUAUGGCAUAAUGUUCCCUGUAUGAUCAGAUAGUGGUUCCCUGUAUGAUCAGAUAGUGGUUUCCUGAAUGAUCAGAUAGUGGUUUCCUGUAUGAUCAGAUAGUGGUUCCCUGUAUGAUCAGAUAGUGGUUCCCUGUAUGAUCAGAUAGUGGUUUCCUGUAUGAUCAGAUAGUGGUUUCCUGUAUGAUCAGAUAGUGGUUCCCUGUAUGAUCAGAUAGUGGUGGUUCCCUGUAUG